rnacentral:rRNA from 1 species
AAGAGCUCGCUCCUUGACGUAAGCGGCGGACGGGUGAGUAACACGUGGGUAACCUAUCUAUAAGACUGGGAUAACUUCGGGAAACCGGAGCUAAUACCGGAUAACAUUUGGAACCGCAUGGUUCUAAAGUGAAAGAUGGUUUUGCUAUCACUUAUAGAUGGACCCGCGCCGUAUUAGCUAGUUGGUAAGGUAACGGCUUACCAAGGCAACGAUACGUAGCCGACCUGAGAGGGUGAUCGGCCACACUGGAACUGAGACACGGUCCAGACUCCUACGGGAGGCAGCAGUAGGGAAUCUUCCGCAAUGGGCGAAAGCCUGACGGAGCAACGCCGCGUGAGUGAUGAAGGGUUUCGGCUCGUAAAACUCUGUUAUUAGGGAAGAACAAAUGUGUAAGUAACUGUGCACGUCUUGACGGUACCUAAUCAGAA